rnacentral:rRNA from 1 species
AUGCUGCAUCUCGAAUCGCACAACUCUUUCCUCUGGAAUCCAUCAACUCUUGAGAGGAUUAGCUUACCUCCAGACCAAGAGAAUCUCCUUCAAGCCGCACAAAGCAGCAGGUGCCUUCUCUCGCUCAAGCCGACGGAUCCAGAUUGCGUCGUGCUCGUAGCAGACCUCGCACACGCACUCAUCUACUACUGCCAUGCAGGAGGAAGCCAAUGGUUCAAGCACGAGCACGAGCAUGGGAAAAGCUUCAAUGAAGGUCUUACCACGCUUGGUGGCAGGUUCUACGCAUACGACCUGUAUCACGACGAGCACGAUCAGAUUGUCACACUAGAGUUCUUACCAUACCCAGCGUUCACCACGCACGCCUUGCUGCAACAACGUUUCCCAAUCGGAUAUACCAGGUUUCAUUGCGGCAUCUUAGAGUGCCGCGGAGAGCUGUUUGUGCUAAGCUUUUGUUACCACGGGAUAUCUGUCCGGCAUAUCGCGCGAAUUGUUGUGCACAAGUUGGAUGUCUCCAAUGGAGCUUGGCUGAAGGUGGACACGCUCGGCGACAUGGUGAUUUUCUACGAUAGUUGCCGCGGUUAUGGAGCAUCGUUCCAUGCACUCCAGCUCGGUCUAAGAAAACGGGACCGCAUAUACUUUUUGAUGUCUGAUGACAAGGCGUUGUACGUGUAUGAUAUGAAACGAGGAACGACUGCUAUGCACAAUCCUGGACCCAGUCUUCGGGAUUCUCUUGUACCUCAGUUUUUAUUGCCUUCGGCUUCGAUUUGA